rnacentral:rRNA from 1 species
UAACACCAGCGCCACAAGUGGGAACCGUUUUUAUUUGGUCUAAAGCGUCCGUAGCGGGCUCGAUAAAUUACUUGUGAAAUCGUAUAGCUUAACUAUACGGACUGCAGGUAAGACUGUCGAGCUAGAGAUCGGGAGACGUUGGAAGUAUUCGAGGGGGAGCGGUAAAAUGCGAGAAUCCUUCGAGGACUACCUGUUGCGAAGGCGUCCAACAAUAACGAGUCUGACCGUGAGGGACUAAAGCUAGGGGAGCGAACCGGAUUAGAUACCCGAGUAGUCCUAGCCCUAAACUCUGCGAGCUAGGUGUUGCAUAAUCUCCGAGAUUAUGCAGUAUCGUAGCGAAGGCGUUAAGCUUGCCACCUGGGAAGUACGGCCGCAAGACUG